rnacentral:rRNA from 1 species
GACGAACGCUGGCGGCGUGCUUAACACAUGCCAGUCGAACGGAAAGGCCCUGCUUUUGUGGGGUGCUCGAGUGGCGAACGGGUGAGUAACACGUGAGUAACCUGCCCUUGACUUUGGGAUAACUUCAGGAAACUGGGGCUAAUACCGGAUAGGAGCUCCUGCUGCAUGGUGGGGGUUGGAAAGUUUCGGCGGUUGGGGAUGGACUCGCGGCUUAUCAGCUUGUUGGUGGGGUAGUGGCUUACCAAGGCUUUGACGGGUAGCCGGCCUGAGAGGGUGACCGGCCACAUUGGGACUGAGAUACGGCCCAGACGCCUACGGGAGGCAGCAGGGGGGAAUAUUGCACAAUGGGCGGAAGCCUGAUGCAGAAACGCCGCGUGCGGGAUGACGGCCUUCGGGUUGUAAACCGCUUUCGCCUGUGACGAAGCGUGAGUGACGGUAAUGGGUAAAGAAGCACCGGCUAACUACGUG